GGGCACCAGCCUGUGCAGCUCCUCCAACCCAGCUUAUUUGAACCACAACCCAGAAUGGUUAGGGGCCAGAUGUGGGAGUGUUCUCUGUCAUGAUGCCCUGGCUCUGGACUGCUCCCCACCAGAAAGAGAGCCAGAAGGCGGAUGAGUACCUGCGGGAGAUCCAGGAGCUGGGCCAGCUGACCCAGGCCGUGCAGCAGUGCAUUGAGGCUGCAGGACAUGAGCACCAGCCAGACAUGCAGAAGAGUCUGCUCAGGGUUGGCCUGGAUGGCUGGGCUGGGGAGGGCGGGGCUGGGAGGGGGUGGGAUGGGCAACAGGGAAGCUCUCUCCUAUCGCCCUCUGGCUCUUCUCAGGCCGCCUCCUUCGGAAAGUGUUUCCUGGACAGAUUUCCACCCGACAGCUUCGUGCACAUGUGUCAGGACCUGCGUGUGCUCAAUGCUGUUCGGGACUAUCACAUCGGGAUCCCACUCACCUAUAGCCAAUACAAGCAGCUCACCAUCCAGGUGCUGCUGGACAGGCUUGUGUUGCGGAGACUUUACCCCCUGGCCAUCCAGAUAUGCGAGUACUUGCGCCUUCCUGAAGUACAGGGCGUCAGCAGGAUCCUGGCCCACUGGGCCUGCUACAAGGUGCAACAGAAGGAUGUCUCAGAUGAGGAUGUGGCUCGAGCCAUUAACCAGAAGCUGGGGGACACGCCUGGUGUCUCUUACUCCGACAUUGCUGCACGAGCCUAUGGUUGUGGCCGCACGGAGCUGGCCAUCAAGCUGCUGGAGUAUGAGCCACGCUCAGGGGAGCAGGUACCCCUUCUUCUAAAGAUGAAGAGGAGCAAACUGGCACUAAGCAAGGCCAUCGAGAGCGGGGACACUGACCUGGGUGAGGGCAAGGCUGGGGGACCCCUGGGCUAAGUGGGAGCCUGGCUGGAGUUCCCACCCCACCUUAUUCUCCUGCAGUGUUCACGGUGUUGCUGCACCUGAAGAACGAGCUGAACCGAGGAGAUUUUUUCAUGACCCUUCGGAAUCAGCCCAUGGCCCUGAGUUUGUACCGACAGUUCUGUAAGCAUCAGGAGCUAGAGACGCUGAAGGACCUUUACAAUCAGGAUGACAAUCACCAGGAAUUGGGCAGCUUCCACAUCCGAGCCAGUUAUGCUGCAGAAGAGCGUAUUGAGGGGCGAGUAGCAGCUCUGCAGACAGCCGCCGAUGCCUUCUACAAGGCCAAGAAUGAGUUUGCAGCCAAGGCUACAGAGGAUCAAAUGCGGCUCCUACGGCUGCAGCGGCGCCUAGAAGACGAGCUGGGGGGCCAGUUCCUAGACCUGUCUCUACAUGACACAGUUACCACCCUCAUUCUUGGCAGUCACAACAAGCGUGCAGAGCAGCUGGCACGUGACUUCCGCAUCCCUGACAAGAGGCUCUGGUGGCUGAAGCUGACUGCCCUGGCAGAUUUGGAAGACUGGGAAGAGCUAGAGAAGUUUUCCAAGAGCAAGAAAUCACCCAUUGGCUACCUGCCUUUUGUGGAGAUCUGCAUGAAACAACACAACAAAUAUGAAGCCAAGAAGUAUGCUUCCCGCGUGGGUCCCGAGCAGAAGGUCAAGGCUUUGCUUCUUGUUGGCGAUGUGGCUCAGGCUGCAGAUGUGGCCAUCGAACACCGGAAUGAGGCUGAGCUGAGCCUCGUAUUGUCCCACUGCACGGGAGCCACAGAUGGGGCCACAGCUGACAAGAUUCAACGGGCCAGGGCACAAGCCCAGAAGAAGUGAGGAGUCCACCCUGUACAUCUCGAGCAAGGGGUUCCUCCCCUAGCACCUGGGCUUGACAGAAGGGCCAUAGUUCAUCCAGCUCCUCCCCUAGGACAAUGCUGAGGAGGAGGGGCGUGGUAGCAAGGCUGUCUGGUUUUAAAUAAAGUUGGAACGCUUUA
rnacentral:sRNA from 1 species